GCCACCGUUGCCCGGGGAUGGGUCCCUGAGACUUGGCGAAGUAGGAGCCCUGUGUGAUCGUGCGUCAGAGUCGGGGCUGAGGUCAGCCCCGGCCAGGGCAGUUACCAGGACGGUCUCCGGAGGCCGGGAUUCGCGGAGGGUCCACCAGCAGGAAGAAACCCCAGGAGGAAGAAACCUCAGACAGAUCGCCGGGGAGGCAGCGCGGGAUCCCAGCCUCAGGCGUGCGCGGACGGUGUGCGGAGAGGUAGAAGCAAGAGAAGCAUAAACAUAUAAUUUCAAUGCAAUAUGGUCCUGAGAAGAGGAUUAGAAAAAGGCAACACAUCAAAAAGUUAAGAGGCAGAAAUAGCUUUUGUGUUGCUGGUAAAUUUAAUGAGAUCUAAGUUAUUCGACUGGCAAGUCUCAUCUCUUUGAGCAUCUCAGUGAAGACUGUCAGAAAUCAUCAAAAUUCAACACAACAGAGUAAAAGCUAAUAGCCUUUUUGUUAUACCAAAACUGAAAGGAUUGGUAAGACUCAAAAUGAAUGCUAUUACUGAAAAUCUUCUUUUAUCUAAUUCUUUGUGCAGUGAGUGAAAAUUGAACAAAUACAUAUCCUUUUUAUGGUGUUAAAAUGAAUUCUGACACUAUUAAACAAAUAUUCUUUGGACCUAA